AACAUGCAAGUCGAGCGGUAACAGAGCCAAGCUUGCUGCCCGCUGACGAGCGGCGGACGGGUGAGUAAUGCUUAGGAAUCUGCCCGGUAGUGGGGGAUAACCCGGGGAAACCCGGAUUAAUACCGCAUACGUCCUACGGGAGAAAGCGGGGUUUGCCUUCUCGCGUUUACCUUGCGAUUGAGCCAUAAGUCGAAUAAGGACUAUGCUAGAUGGAGGGGAUAAGGCCUCACAGGACGAUCCCGGUAGUCUGGACUUAGACGAAGAGGAUGAUUUCAGCCACAUUCGAGACUGGAGAACCCAACCCCAACUCUCUUACCGGGAGGGCAGGCAAAGAUGGGGAAUAUUUGGAACAAUUGACCCUGACCCUGGAUCCACCCCAUGCCGCGAGGUGUGUGAACACAAGGCUCUCUGGGUGUGUAAGUCAACUUUCAAAAGAGGAGAAAAACCCUUAUGGCGUAUAUACCCAUGAAGCUAGACCUUAACAUAAGCAGGAAAGAAGCUCCGGCUAACUCCGUGCCCAGCACGCCGCGGUAUAUACGGAGGGUGCAAAUCGUUAAUUAUCGAAUUACUGGGCGUAAAGCGCGCGUGUGGUGUGUUUGGGUAUGCGAAAUGUGAAAAAGCCUCGGCCGUUACACCUGGGUCCGGAAGCACAUCCGAAAUGACAGACUAGAGAGUGAAAGAGAGGAAGUCGCAGAAUUCCUGUGUAAAUGCUGAAAUGAGUAGAGAUAUGAAGAACGAUCACCACAUGCCGAAAGCGGCUACCUGGACCAACACUGACACUUGAGAUGUGAGAGAGCUGAAGCGUGAACAGGAUACAGAUAUUAUGAUAUCCCGGUACGCCCCACACGCAUGUAAAAGAUAUCAACUACCCGUCUAGGACUCUUGAAGUGCUUAAUGUAACGCAGAUAACGCACUAACGUUGACCCCGACGGCGGAGUACGCCCGCAAGGUUAAAACUCAAAACAAUUAUGACGGGGCGCCGCACCCCCAAGCGGACCAUGGGAGCAUGUGGUUUAAUACGACGCAACGCGAAGCAGACUCUCCUGACAUCUUGACAUCUCAGAGAACUUAUCCACAGAGGGAUUGCCUGCUGCAUCCAGGAACUCUGAGACAGCAGUGCUGCACAUCCGCUCGUUCAGUCUCGAAUGUUGAGAUGAUUGGGCUUAAGUCACGUAAAGAGCGCAACCCCUAUCUGCCUGCUGCUAUGCACGGUAAUGCUGUAAAGAUACUCCAGGCGAGACUGACAGCGAAAAACCGGAGGGAAGGACGGCAUGAACGUCAGGUCAUCAUGGACCCUACGGCCACGCGUACUACACGUGUUACAGAUGACACGUAGCAGAGGGGGUCCAACUCCGCAAGAGUUCCCAAUCCCUAUAAAACCCCCGAAUUACUGUCCAUAUGAGUGUGCAACUCUAGUCCGUGAAGUGUGGGUAUCUAGUGUUCUCGAAUCAGAAUGUCGCGGUGAAUACGUUUUCCGGGCCUUGUACACACACCCCGUCACCACCAGGAAGGAUUGCACCAGAAGUAGUUAGUCUAACCUUCAAGAGGACGAUCAGCCAUCG
rnacentral:rRNA from 1 species